UACGUAGGGUGCAAGCGUUGUCCGGAAUUAUUGGGCGUAAAGAGCUCGUAGGCGGUUUGUUGCGUCGGCUGUGAAAACCCGGGGCUCAACCCCGGGCCUGCAUCCGAUACUCCCGGGCUGGAGGCAGGUAGGGGAGAUCGGAAUUCCUGGUGUAGCGGUGGAAUGCGCAGAUAUCAGGAGGAACACCGAUAGCGAAGGUAGCUCGCUGGGACGGUACUGACGCUGAGGCGCGAAAGCGUGGGGAGCGAACAGG
rnacentral:rRNA from 1 species